rnacentral:rRNA from 1 species
GAUGAACGCUGGCGGCGUGCCUAAUACAUGCAAGUCGAGCGAACGGACGAGAAGCUUGCUUCUCUGAUGUUAGCGGCGGACGGGUGAGUAGCACGUGGAUAACCUACCUAUAAGACUGGGAUAACUUCGGGAAACCGGAGCUAAUACCGGAUAAUAUUUUGAACCGCAUGGUUCAAAAGUGAAAGACGGUCUUGCUGUCACUUAUAGAUGGAUCCGCGCUGCAUUAGCUAGUUGGUAAGGUAACGGCUUACCAAGGCAACGAUGCAUAGCCGACCUGAGAGGGUGAUCGGCCACACUGGAACUGAGACACGGUCCAGACUCCUACGGGAGGCAGCAGUAGGGAAUCUUCCGCAAUGGGCGAAAGCCCGACGGAGCAACGCCGCGUGAGUGAUGAAGGUCUUCGGAUCGUAAAACUCUGUUAUUAGGGAAGAACAUAUGUGUAAGUAACUGUGCACAUCUUGACGGUACCUAAUCAGAAAGCCACGGCUAACUACGUG